GGAUGGGCGAGGCCACC
rnacentral:rRNA from 1 species